CACGUAGGCACCAAGCGUUGUCCGGAUUUAUUGGGCGUAAAGAGCUCGUAGGCGGUUGAGUAAGUCGGGUGUGAAAACUCUGGGCUUAACCCAGAGCCGCCACCCGAUACUGCUCUGACUUGAGUUCGGUAGGGGAGCAGGGAAUUCCUAGUGUAGCGGUGAAAUGCGCAGAUAUUAGGAGGAACACCGGUGGCGAAGGCGCUGCUCUGGGGCCGAUACUGACGCUGAGGAGCGAAAGCGAUGGGUAG
rnacentral:rRNA from 1 species